rnacentral:rRNA from 1 species
GAUGAACGCUGGCGGCGUGCCUAAUACAUGCAAGUCGAGCGAACGGACGAGAAGCUUGCUUCUCUGAUGUUAGCGGCGGACGGGUGAGUAACACGUGGAUAACCUACCUAUAAGACUGGGAUAACUUCGGGAAACCGGAGCUAAUACCGGAUGAUAUUUUGAACCGCAUGGUUCAAAAGUGAAAGACGGUCUUGCUGUCACUUAUAGAUGGAUCCGCGCUGCAUUAGCUAGUUGGUAAGGUAACGGCUUACCAAGGCAACGAUGCGUAGCCGACCUGAGAGGGUGAUCGGCCACACUGGAACUGAGACACAGUCCAGACUCCUACGGGAGGCAGCAGUAGGGAAUCUUCCGCAAUGGGCGAAAGCCUGACGGAGCAACGCCGCGUGAGUGAUGAAGGUCUUCGGAUCGUAAAACUCUGUUAUUAGGGAAGAACAUAUGUGUAAGUAACUGUGCACAUCUUGACGGUACCUAAUCAGAAAGCCACGGCUAACUACGUG